rnacentral:rRNA from 1 species
GACGUAGGGUGCAAGCGUUAAUCGGAAUUACUGGGCGUAAAGCGUGCGCAGGCGGUUUUGUAAGACUGUCGUGAAAUCCCCGGGCUUAACCUGGGAAUGGCAUUUGGGACUGCAAGGCUUGAGUGCGGCAGAGGAGACUGGAAUUCCUGGUGUAGCAGUGAAAUGCGUAGAUAUCAGGAGGAACACCGAUGGCGAAGGCAGGUCUCUGGGCUGACACUGACGCUCAUGCACGAAAGCGUGGGGGGCAAACAGG